rnacentral:lncRNA from 1 species
CUCAGAGAAAGCUUAUUUGCAUCUGUUAUUUACUUCAUUUUAUUUCCUCUACAGAUGUAACCUUUCCCCUCAGUAGACAGCUUUGCAGGCUGUUCUUGUGUUUGCAGUCCCUGUGUAUAGCCUUCUCAAAAUACAAACGGCAUAUUUUGAGGCAUGGAAAGAAUUCUCCCUGAAGAUUUGUGCCACAAAUAGCCCCAGAAGCUGGCUGAUUUUGGAGUCAUUGCUGCACUGAACCCAGAGCUCGCCAUGGCAUCUUGUUUAAGAAAAUUAAGUUUUCCCAUUCUUCCUCUUUAAGCUGGUGACCCUGGGUGGCAUGGAACUCUUACAGGAAAAGCUUGGAACUCUUGAGCUCAAAUCCAGUGUGUUGACAAGGUCCCAGUGGGAACCCCAUUCAGGCUGAAUGAAUUGGCAGUCAUUUCCAGGCUUAUCAGAUCACAUUCUCCUUGUCUUACUUAAUUUUGUGAAUCAACCCCAACUCAGGAGACCAGAAUCACAACAAGAAUUUCAUUUUUGCCAGACAAAGGGCUCAGCCAUGCAUUCAGCCAUCAAGUUUUCCUUGUCCUUCCCUGGGUCUGGAGUGAUAUAGACUGAAACAGUGGAUCCGUGUCAGGUUUUACUCAUGGCUGGACUGCCUUGUCACGCUCCUUGGCACCGAAGGAGUGUGAUUGAAUGUGUGUAGCUGUCAGAGGCAGAGGGGAGUCAAUAAUACCUGAUAUUUGCCUUGAAUUCCUGUUUUACCUUCACACAAUUAAAUCUUGCCUUCACAUUAUUUCAUUUGCUUUACUUGGAAAGGAGCUCUAACCUUGAAAAGGAUUGAAGUUGUGGCUUUAUUAUCCUUGAGGACAAUUCUAUGUAAUGUGUGGAAGAAGAGAGGAUUCCAAAGAGAUUCCUCUCUUGUCUUUUCCGUAUCAACUGCUUUGAGUCCUUUGUUUUCUUUCCUGGGCUCUUGUGUGGGUGACACAUCUGUGUUUAUAUACAGCUAGGCCAUAUCUCUCUCCCAAAGAGGCAGAAGAGCCAAACUACAUGUCUUCAGGAGGGGGAAGCAAGUUUUUCUCAACCUUAGUGAAUGAUGUUUCUAGAACAGGGUGGAUCUCUAAGCCCUUAAGGAUGAUGCUGUCUGUUCCAGAGAAUUCUAUAUAAAGUGUAUGUGUGUGCACGCUUCUUUCAGUUUUCUUCUCUUAAGAAGACAAUUAGCAGCAGCAUUCAACAUAGAGUCCUCAAAGGAUGAAAUCCUCCCAACAUUUAACUUGGGUCAUUUGGGAAUGUGUAAAUGUAGUUACUCUUCCAGGCCACCGUGGGGGGCUAUUUGGUGUACUCCUAAAUGUAGGACUUUUCACAUUGAAAAGAAUACACUGGAACAGACUUCCUGAUUCACAUCAACCAGCCAGGCCUGAUCCUUUCAUUACAAGGUAAUGCAUUUUGUAGAUUGAGUAGGAAACUAAAUAGGCAACCCUCUUUAGGGAUGUAGAUAUCUCUGCUUCAGAAAAUGUUUAUUGAUUCUUUAGGUUCAGAACAACAUUAAUCAUGCAAAAAGCCAAAGACCCGAGACUCAGAAUCUGGUAUCAGGAGACAGGGGAGCUGCUUUUCUUUUCACAGUAAGACUUAUGUCAACACAUUUCUGAAAAUGAAUCAAUAGUCAAAUAACUCAAGUGACAGAUUGAUCAUUCUGGCAGAGAACAAAGUCUAUAAGAUGUCAUACAAUCAAAACAGCAACAACACGUAAGGCAUUUUAUUUGACAUUACUCAAAAUUCUACUGAUCCUAUCACAUUUAAUACGUCUUUUUCCAUCAGCCUCUGGAGAUAGGAAGAUAAAAGUAACAGUGAG